rnacentral:rRNA from 1 species
CCUACGGGGGGCAGCAGUGGGGAAUUUUCCGCAAUGGGCGAAAGCCUGACGGAGCAAUACCGCGUGCGGGAAGAAGCUUUUUGGAGUGUAAACCGCUUUUCUCGGGGAAGAUAAUGACGGUACCCGAGGAAUAAGCAUCGGCUAACUUCGUGCCAGCAGCCGCGGUAAUACGAGGGAUGCAAGCGUUAUCCGGAAUUAUUGGGCGUAAAGCGUUCGUAGGUGGUUAGGUAAGUCUGUUGUUAAAGCAUGGAGCUCAACUCCAUAUCGGCGAUGGAAACUGCCUGACUUGAGUGUGGUAGGGGUAACAGGAAUUCCCAGUGUAGCGGUGAAAUGCGUAGAUAUUGGGAAGAACACCAGCGGCGAAAGCGUGUUACUGGGCCACAACUGACACUGAGGGACGAAAGCUAGGGGAGCGAAAGGGAUUAGAUACCCCGGUAGUC